UCUCACCUCAACAGCCAACAGUUCUGUGUAGUUACGAGACUCCAGGAACAUCCGUUUAGGACCUCACAUACAUCCUUACAUCCCGUAGCCUGUGGAAUGGAAUGAAGUAAGAACCUCAGGCUGCCUGAAUGAAGUUUCCUUAUAAGAGUACUCCAGUGCUAAUGAUGACAACAGUGAAGGAACCAGCAAUUCAAUACUGGAGGGUGCUGCGGAGGGAACAUUGACAUAAGGGCAGGGCUCUGAGUCUGACGUGGGAUGGAAGUCCAGAAGGACGUGUUCCAAUGUGACCUGUGCAGUUGUGGCCUACCUACUCAAAGCCUCAGCUGCAAGGCUGCAGGAUGCUGUGCUGUGGAGCUGUGAACGUACACAGGGGAGCCUGGGAGGCUGAUGUUUAACACUACAGAAAUAGGAAAGGUGUGUGGGACAACACCAGAGUGGACGUCUACACAUGGGAGUGAAAAACAAAGGCUUUGUUCCACUACAAACUGACCAGAGAAUCUAAUGAUUGUUUAACUUGAAAUAUUUUUAUGUAACUGAAUGAAAAUAGGUGGUAUAUUUGGGAGAAAAAACAGUGCUUCUACUUCAGCUUGCUCUGUAGGAUUGUGCAGUCUUUAGCCAAUGUUCUUUCAUAGCUAUUUUUUCCCCCAUUUUGUCUAGGGGAGAAGAGAGAAAAGGCAUCUUGAAAGUGCUUUUUAUUGUACAUAUUACAUCUAGGCAAUGAGUCCUUGAAUUCCUUGAAACCUGUGGGCGCUGUCAUUAUGGAAAUAAAACGUAUAGUCUCAUUUGUAACAGCCAACGCAUAGGUUUUUCAGUUUGCUUCUGAAGAAGUCCCAGUAAUUGCAUAUGCUUUGUUGUAUAUAAGGCAGGUACUGGUACCCCUUUCCAUCAUAUAUAUUUUUUAAAUUUUCCAUCUUCUUCUCUCUCCACAGCUUUCUUAUUUCCUUUCUCUUCUGUAACUUUCCUUUCGGUUUUUGGACUGGUAAUGUGUUUUUCCAAGAGGAAUGGCUGUUAUAAUCAUGGUUAGCACCUCUGAUGCACUUCAGAAAGGCUAUCAGACUUAAAACCUUUUUCAUAAGCAGCAGUGGAAAACACAAGUUGUUAAAAAUAGGUUUUAUUUUAUCUUAAAAAGGACAUGAAUGCAUGAGUUAUCCCACCUCUCCAGAAUAAAACAUAUUCCUAUUAAUGUACAAGAAAAUUGUUAGGUCCAGCAGGGAGAUGCAUUUUGCUUUUCAAGGCAUAUGUCACUCCCUGAUCCAAUUAUUGUUGAAAGUUUCAGAGGCAAAAUUAAUUAGCAGUCUGCCAUAGUUCUCCAGAUUCCUGGAGCUCCAGUAAUGACUUGGUUUCUGUAGAACUGUUCUUAUUACAUGCAAUAGACAAGUCUGGACAUAGCAACUUACUCUGUGAAGCUCCUUAAAACUUAUUACUGUUAUCAGCAGCCUCUCUGCAACUGUAGAGGUGCCAGAUGUUGGGGCUGUAAGCACAGAAUGCAGAAUUUAAGUUAGACCUUGUUUUGAAAAAAAAGUUUUAAUGAUUUUCACCCAUCUCCAGCAAUUAUUGUAUUAUUAAAAUAAUAAUAAUAAUAAUGUUUUUCAGGUUAAAGAAAAACCAGUGAUGAGGGUAAAUCCACUGGAAGCAUAGGUAGUAUUGGAAAUUAAUUUUCAAUUUUGGCUGCUUAACUCCGCAGAGAACUGUUCAAUUUUUUUAUAUGUUAAGGAAAACAACAUUAGGAAUUUCUGUGUUUAGAUGCACAAUAGUUUUGAUCAUCCAGGGUCAGAUCUGUAGAUCCCAUUGUUCUCAGCAUUGUAAAACUGAUCCACAUUUGCUGAGGUUCUAACUCUGUUUC
rnacentral:lncRNA from 7 species